ensembl:lncRNA
CAUUUCUUUGUUGUGUUUCAGAUCUUUGUGAGAGCUCACCUGAAAGGCUGAUUUCUCGGGUAGCUUUUCUUUCUUCUUCUUCUUCUCGUCCUCGUCCUCCUCCUCGUCCUCCUCACUGUCUGUCUCAAACAGGUAGUAAUCACCGCUCCUCACCACUGCGGGCAGACAGACAGGUCAGACCUACAGACGGUAACAGAGUGACUGACAGGUGAGAGAGUGAUUGUGUCAGAGGUCAUGUGACUCACUGGAGGCGUGGUUUACCCAGGGUCUCCACCACUUCUUCUGGCCCCGCCCCUUCCUCUUCUCCUGAUCUACAUAACAGACACUCACGUCAAAUUGUCUGGCGACUGACAGCCAUCACCAUGACAACGAAUGUACACCUCAUGUUGCGUUCACACCAAAAGCAAAGUGAAUUCUCGCCAUGAUUUAAUCGCCCAAUUAGUUUAAUUCAUUCAUUCAUUUGUCUGCAUUUGCGUCUCCUUCAUCCGCUUCAUAGGCGCCGGAAGGGGGCGUGGCUUAUCUCUGCAGCUUGUCUCCGUAAAGACAGUUAUCGUCCACCAUGGCAACAAACACUAUGUCAGUCUGUGCUGUGUGUGUCUCCAGUGACUUUCAUAAAGUGUAUUGAGGCUUUGGCAGCAGUACGGCGGUGAUGACGAGCGGAGCAUCUCAACGCCGAUUGGCUUUCGCUAGACAGCGGCGGGACGAAAAGGCGAUUUAUUGGCUUUGCUUCCUUCGCGUCCUUCACGCUGAACAUUUGCGUACUUCGCAACAACAAACCUUCGGUGCAGAAGCUGCCUUGGGUCAAACUCAACAAUUUCUCUUUUCCUUUGCGGAACUUCUUCUGUCGGGAUUUUAUUCGUUCCAUCCUGAAGCACAUGGGAGACAAGAAGUGGUUCACCGGCGGACAGGUGUGUCCAUCAACAUCUGGUCCCAGGUGAAACUUGUCUCAGUGCUUUGACCCUCUGAACUACUUUGCGUGUCUUACUGCCUCUUCAGAAGGUCCAUGGAGGUCUUCUCCACCUCUAGCCUCGCUCUGACAGCUUUCACUGUGGACGCCUCAAAGAGCUCCGCACCCCUUUAACGCACACACACACACACACACACAUCAACGUGUCACCACAUGUCCGUUCCUUAACAUCUGUUCAGGUGUGUGAUUGUGUACCUGGAGGCCAGCAGUUGUGUAUUUUGUAGGUCAAGGACCACACACAGGAAGUACUGACUCCUGAAGACCCGCCUCUGAAGCAACAGGAAACAGAAGCAAACGCCGUCCCAAAUGAUGCCGGCCUCGUCGCUAGGCAACUCACACUGCUUACUGCUCUGCUGCUCCGCUGCAGGAAGUUAUGAGUGGUAAACACCGGGCAGACAGACAGGCAGACAGACAGACAGACAGACAGACAGGCAGGCAGGCAGGCAGACAAGACAGACAGACAGACAGACAGGUGAAGAGUAAACACCUACGUUUGGUGUACCCUUUGAUGGUGCAGGCCAGACUGAAGAGCUGAAUCAGCCAGCAGUGGUUUGACACCAACGACUUGAUGAAACCACAGGCCAGGAUCUGACCAGACAGACAGACAGGUGGAGACAUUGAGACGGUUUGACUCAGAGAGGGUGAGGAUGAUGAUGAUGAUGAUGAUGCAUCUUACCGACAGGAUGUUCUUCAUAGUGAUGACGAACACGUUGUAGCCAAUUAGGAAAUCCCAGUACACCAAGAUGGAUUUCACUGGUUUCAGCAGCAGAUUUCCGCCAACCAACAGGAAGUAGAAACACGCCACCAGGUAACCCAUACAGAAGAUACUGAUCCUGCAACAGGAAGUAGAAUCACAUCAAGAAGUAACCUAUAAAGAAGAUACCGAUCCUCAAACAGAGAGUAGAAACAUGUCACUAGGUAACCUGUACAAAAGACACCAAAUACUUGAUUGUAUUAACAUUAUUGGUGAAUAUUCACGUUCAAGUUCAGGUUGCAGUGGCUCCGCCCACUCACCUAGUAGUCCCAGUAAUGAAGAUGAUGGUGAGGACAAACCAAAACAUGUAGCUGAAGAUGAUAAGCUUCAUCAUGUCCAGGUAAGACCUGCAUACAAAGAGGGCAAAGGUCAGACGGACAAUGAGACACCAAGAAAUAAGGAGAACGGGGCGGGGGGGCUACCUGCACAGCAUGAAGUCAGGGCCUGUGUUCAGACGGAGUCGCCUGAUUGCAUCUGGAACCUGUUCGUCAUCCUCGUCCAGCUCACAGUUGUCUCCUGCGAGGAUCUGAACCGACGACCGGAGCUCUUCCUCAAACACCUGCAGCUGCAGAGAGGCACCGAGGAGGAGCAAGAAGUCAUCUGAAAGAUUAGGAAAGAGGAGAUAAUGAGGGGGAGCAGGAAAUCAUCUCAGACGGUGGUGAUGAUGAUGAUGAUGAUCCUACAGAGGAGGAAGAUUGGGUUUGGAGGUGUCAGGUGAUCGGGCAGGAAGAGCCACUUCACCACGUUGGAGUCCAUGUUGGAGGACGGAGGUCUCCAUGGAUAAUCUGCGGCCGGAGGGAACCCGAUACACAGAAUGUACUGGAAACAUAGCAGCCCUGAGAGGAAGUAGCAGUACUUGGGCCACACUGAGGCAAUGUGCCUCCUGCGCCGCUUUGAUAGGACACUGAUGAGACCAAAGGCAUGGCCUACAGCGAACAGGUCCAUCCGCUGGCCAAUCACGUUCACAGCCAACAGGAAGCAGGUCUGAGGAAGAGCGUGGGAAUAUUUUUAAACGUGAAGAUGUUAGCUUAUUGCUAACCUCGGGGUGUGUCUCACCUCCAGGCCAAACUUGUAGAAGAAGUAGUUGAGGAAGUACUUCACACAGCUUAGCACGCUGUCGUCCAGGUGGCGCCUGGUGAUGUCAUGAAACAGCGUUUUGGUGGCGGGCGGAACCUCGUUACGUCGGAGUCGGUAGAGCUCCUGGUGUCUGUAAACUGUUACCUCAAAGGCUAACAGCGCUAAUAUCAUCAGGUUAUGCUGCAGAAAGAGAUUAGCAUGCUGUUACGUUAUCAGACCCAACUUCAUCAGGUUAGACUGGUUAGCACGAUGCUAUGUGAUGAGCAUCAUCAUAUAAUGUGGAGACUGGUUAGCUAGAUGCUAGAUCUCACUUCAUCAGCGUAGCCUGAUGCUAGGCUAUCAGAGUUGCUUUGUCACUCCUCACCCUCAGGUAGUCCAGCAGUUUUCCGUCAGUCUUCCGUAGCCCCACCCACUGGGCGGGGUCAACUGCACCGGCGUACAGAACAGAGCGAGACAGGUCGGCGCUGGAGUUACCUGGCUACAGAGAGACAGACAGACCCAGAUGAUGUAGCAGGAGACGAUCUUAACUAUGUGGAGUUCCAGGAUCCACCACAGAAGGUGCUGCAGGCGCUGCAAGGAGAGGAGGAGGCGCAAGAACAAAACAGAGAGACGGUCCACCACCAACCUCCAGGAGACCAGCACUGAGGACGAGAGAACAGGAGUGAACUUCCUGUAUGGAAGAGUCCCAGGAGGAGUUGAGGGGUUUCACACACCGACAGGUCGAACAGGCUGCCGUCGGAGUGGACCAGCCUGCAGAGAGAGACAGGUGAGAAGAAGUAUAAUAAACUUCAUUCAGGUACGUAGCCCAGAACGGGGAUUCUUCACAGAGGUCUGAGGACCAUCUACAGAGAUCUGAGUACCCUUUGAGAGGGUCUGGGGACUAUCAAAUGUUAUUACGGCUUGUCUCCAGCUGUUCUAUGACCUCUGACCCGCAAGUAGAGCUGUGUGUUACCUGGUGAUGGUGCUGUUGUGCGUGUCCACCACAGUCUUCAGGUCGGUCAGCUGCAGGAAUGGCUUGUGGAAGUAAUGCAGGUGAACGAUGCACACCUGAGGAACAUGGUCAGGAGUCAACUUCCACAUGACAUGUGGCGCACACUGUCUCUGUGGAAAUGUGAGAGUACCAAGAGGAACGCAGCAGGGAUGAAGAUCCUGGUGAAGAGAACGGGAACCGAGAACUUCUCCAAACCAAUGUCCUCCAACCUGGACAGGAGCAGCACCUCCUCGUACGACACCUCCUCCUUCUCCUGCACGUCCUCAUCGGCACUCGGCUGCUCCUCUAACGGACGUAAAACAAGAGGGAGACGGACCAGUUAGCGCCUGACGCAGCAGCAACCAGAAGGUCAAGAGACACAACAACUGCAACGACAACAACAGUAGUAUCAGUACAAGUAGUAGUUGUAGUACAUGUAGUAGUAGUAGUAGUAGUAGUACCUUGGAGGCCAGCUCACUGCAGGGAUCUUCUUUCCUCGGGAACAGUCCCGGGACUUCUCGGAUGGGGGGGAAGCUGUAGACAUACUGCAGGAGGACCAGCAGGUUGCCGUAGGCGACCAGCCAGGGCGAUGACAUCAGCGUGUACCGGCGACGCUCUCGCAUCAUCCAGAGGACGCACGACCACAGCAGCAGCACACACGUCAGCCAGGACACCAUCAAACACAGAUAAGAACCGCCAUCAUGAAGGUCACUGUCUGUCCUAUGACACCAUCAUGUCCCCAAUGGUACCUGUCUGUCCUGUGGGAUACCUGUCUACCUCUCUACAGUAUCCUUCAACCCAUAAACUCACCUGAUUGGCUGAGAGAGUAGUGAGACGCGGCGUAAGCAUCCAAUUCAAAUACUUUGCUCUGGGUAGACGGGGCAAACGCGUCAGAGGGACUGUCAUCGGUGGAUGAUACCUAGAGACGGACCAAGAGACAGAAUGGGGACUUUAAACAACAAAAUUGAAUUCUGUGUAUUCAUGAAAUGAUCACAAUAAUGAAUGAAAGCGUAAUAUGUAUUUUUUUGUUUCCGUACGCCUCGGCACUCGGGACGAUCGUGAGCUCUCCUCCACGACUCUCUCCGUCCCUCCGCUGUGAUGUCACUGCCGACCUCAUCGCUCAAGUUGCUGGUGGCAGUUAUGAUGUCACAGCUCCCGCUGAUGGCUGACUCCUCCCUCUCUAUGCCCCACCACCCAACGCCAUCGAUCAGCUGCAGAAACAUGUGACACACUUCAGCCAAUUAGAGCGUCUUUCCUUCUCACCGUCCCUUCCCGUCCCUUCCUGACUGGCAGGACCAUACAGAUGUUUAUCUCUGCCAACUCCAUUUGGAAAGUGAUAUAUAUAUAUAUAGUUUUAAACUUGUUUUAAACAUGUUUACUGCCAUUUCAUUGCUUCUUCUGCUCCUUUACGCAUUAUCUUUGACAUGUUUGAAAUAGAUCUGAUAUAUAAAAUGACAUCAUACUGUAACAUUAUGACUGUAUGACAUCAUAAGCAGAAGUUCUAACAUGCUGUAUGAUGUCAUCCUGUGUUGCGUGACAUCACCUGGUUCCUCCACAGAGUGGCCACAGUGUGGUAGAGCAGCAUCAGCAUCAAAGGACUGGUGAAGUGAAACCAGCUUAGCUCAGAGUUCACCUGCAUCCUCCAGGGGGCAGAACAGUUCACGGAGACCAGGGGCAGCAAGCCAAACAGACUGCAGUGGAGACAUGCACCAUCAGUAGACCAUAAACCAAUCAAUCGAUCGACACAUUAAUGAAUCGACCCGUCAAUGAAAUAAGACUGAGAUCUACUGUUGAUUUACAGGAACAUGUUGUUGUGAAGAAAGUCUGUGUUUGUCUCAACCUGUAAUUAAGUCACUUGUCUGACUCCACAGGGUG